ensembl:lncRNA
CUGUCCUGCAGCAGAUGUCACUGUGUUUUUGCUGUUACAGCUGCUGACAGUCAUAGCUGGCUCUUUUCCUUCAGUAAAGGUGAAUCUUCAUGAGGCUACUACUCUCCCCUGCACUCAGACAUGUUCUGGUCUGGUCACAUGGACUUUAUAUCAUAAACCACAUGACAUACUGGCUCAGUGUAACCAGACAUCUUGCCAGUCAGAGGAGGGAUUUCACAUGUCCCAUGAUCAGUACCUGAAGGGAGAUCUCUCCCUCACCAUCACUGAUGCUGAUUACACUAAGAGGUCCUUGUACACCUGCGCCUGUAAAGGUCGAGAGCUCUGUGAUGUGAGUCUGCAGAUAGAGGGUAAGUGUCUUCAAUGGAUUACCUAGUUAUUGUUACUAAACC